GGACGAACGCUGGCGGCGUGCUUAACACAUGCAAGUCGAACGCUGAAGCUUGGUGCUUGCACUGGGUGGAUGAGUGGCGAACGGGUGAGUAAUACGUGAGUAACCUGCCCUUGACUCUGGGAUAAGCCUGGGAAACUGGGUCUAAUACUGGAUAUGACAUGCCACUGCAUGGUGGUGUGUGGAAAGGGUUUUACUGGUUUUGGAUGGGCUCACGGCCUAUCAGCUUGUUGGUGGGGUAAUGGCCUACCAAGGCGACGACGGGUAGCCGGCCUGAGAGGGUGACCGGCCACACUGGGACUGAGACACGGCCCAGACUCCUACGGGAGGCAGCAGUGGGGAAUAUUGCACAAUGGGCGGAAGCCUGAUGCAGCGACGCCGCGUGAGGGAUGACGGCCUUCGGGUUGUAAACCUCUUUCAGCACGGAAGAAGCGAGAGUGACGGUACGUGCAGAAGAAGCGCCGGCUAACUACGUG
rnacentral:rRNA from 1 species